GUGCCAGCAGCCGCGGUAAUACGUAGGUGGCGAGCGUUGUCCGGAAUUACUGGGUGUAAAGGGCGUGUAGGCGGGAAAGCAAGUCAGAUGUGAAAUGCCGAGGCUUAACUUCGGAGCUGCAUCUGAAACUGCGUUUCUUGAGUGUCGGAGAGGAAAGUGGAAUUCCCAGUGUAGCGGUGAAAUGCGUAGAUAUUGGGAGGAACACCAGUGGCGAAGGCGACUUUCUGGACGAUAACUGACGCUGAGGCGCGAAAGCGUGGGGAGCAAACAGGAUUAGAUACCCCAGUAGUCC
rnacentral:rRNA from 1 species